UCGUUCUUUGGCUUUCCUAUCGAAUAUGGUCUUCAUUUUUACUUGUGCCUUUUCAAAGUUUUGCUUUGCCAAAUCAUAAGCUCUGUACAGACGUGUACGAAAUGUUGAAACAUACUCCGGAAGAGUAGAGCAUUUAGGAUCAUCGAGCCAUUUCUGUUUGAGCACAGCCAAUGGACCAUGCGGUGUGUGUCCAAAGAUUAACUCCGCGGGACUAAACCCCAUUGACUCUGGGACUACUUCGCAAGAAGCAAAAAGUAACCAGGGAACACCUUCUUCCCAAUUUCGCUCAAGUUCGAAAACAGUACGCACGCAACAUGGACUUGUAAAGUAAAAUUUGUUCCCUGGUCAGUCUGAACUACCCUCGGCAAACCGAAAACUGUGAAAAACUUGGAGAGUGCCUUGGAAACUGCUGUAGUAGUAAUAGAACGCAACAGGAUUGCCUCAGGAAACCGCAUUGCAGCGCAUAUGAUUGUUAAUAGAUAUUUGUGACCAGACUUUGAUCGCGGAAGAGAAUGAUGUGUUAAAAACGACUUGGAUACCAUCGGAAUUGGAUACAGAGGGGCAGGAGGAAUCUUUUGGUUGGGUUUUCCAACCAUUUGGCAAACAUGGCACGUUCUGCAGUAACGCGAGACAUCUUUUUUCAGACCGGGCCAAAAGAUAUUUCGCAGAAUUCGAUCGUAAGUUUUUAAUAUGCCUAGAUGGCCAGCUGCACCAUCAUUGGCUACACUUAAUAUCAUCUUGGUAGACUUUACUUUUUUACCAUUUUACCAUUAUUAAGAAAGUAACCUUGAGACAAACUUUCGAUUUCUUGUUCAUCAAAUCAAACAAUUGUGGCAGAAUGGGUUUGUGCCCCUCCUACUUUUGUAAUGUGAGGGUUUAGCCAAUGAAUAGUGACUCAGAAGGUAUAAAAGUGCAGCCUGUCAGUCGUAGGUGUGCGUCAUUGAGGGGGGCCGUUACGUCAUCAACGCGCCGCCGCUUGUUUGCUUGAGUGGACUGUUUACAUCCGUGGUGAGUGUAUUGUUUGGCCUCAAAACACUUUAAGACGAGCUAUAUUGGUGAGCUAAUACUGAUUUUCGUGUUGGUAGAGACCGCCGAGGCUGCUAACCACUGUUAUAAAAGUCUAUUUUGCUGCGUGAGGAACCAAAUGUGGACAAUUGAGAUGGGUAAUUUAGUCUCUGCUUAGCUGGUGCUGCGCUCUUUUGGGGGUGGGAUCACUAACUGAUUAACCUCCAGCGUCUCUCAGUGUUUCUGAUUGGGCGAGGUGAAGGCAAUGGCUGCGUACUACUAAGUGCCGCGUUGCAGGCUGUAUAUUUCAUGCUGCAUACUCCAUACGCUGCGCUGCAUGCUUCAUGCUGCAUAGUUCAUGCUGUGUGCCUCAGCGGGCGCUGCUGUUUUGUUUCUGUUUUGUUUCUGUUUUGUUUCUGUUUUGUUUCUGUUUUGUUUCUAUUAUUUUGUUUUCUACUGUUUUGUGUCCAGGGGCCCCUUUCAAUAAGGAGGUUCAACCAACUCUGAGUUUAAACUUGAACUCUGAGUUGAUUUACUCUGAGAUAGUAAACUCUGAGUUUUCGGUUACAGAAAAGCUGAUCUGAGUUAGUUCAAUCGACUCUGAGUAGGUUGACUCUGAGUUAAGCGCGUGCACAGCCACAAUGAAAAGCCAUCAUCAAUGGAGCUCAGAUAUUACGAUUUACCAUGGCAACAG